rnacentral:lncRNA from 1 species
CCCCCACGCGGACAUUAUUGUCAACCCGUUUGUCUGGCAAAGAUCCUAAUUGUUUGUUUAUAGGCUUUGGUGGUGAACAAAUGACCAAUUCAUAAUGGUAUUUGUUAGAAAUGUAUGCCGACGAUGACAUCAUAAUUAAUAAUUGAUAUCACCCUCAAAUGUGUUAUUUCACGUAUACGAUCACCUAUAUAUUCAAUUUU